GGGCGAAUGGUUUAGUGGUAUAAUACUCCCUUAGCAUGAUUCCUCCCUUGGGAUCGUCGUCAUUGGGAGUGGUCCAGGGUUCGAUUCCCUGUUCGUCCA
rnacentral:tRNA from 1 species